UCAAACAUGGCCGACAGACGCGUCCUUCCAUUCCCAUGAAGCAUCUGAUGGGUGGAUCCUCCUCAGGCCAACCUAUCACAGGAUUCAUUGCAGACUUCAUUGUGACCUGCUCUUAAAUAGAGGAGGAACUAAACAGCACAAGUGCAGAUGUGAUGUAAAUGUGGAGCUGAUGAAGAGGAAGGACCAAUGACACGAAGGCUCAGAUCCAUCAGAGUAUCAGAGUUGUUGGUCUCUCGUCUCCUCUCACUUCAGACAUGAAACACUGGCUGAGAAACAUCCUGGUUACGACUCUCUGGCUGGGUGUCAGCUGUGAACAACUGAGUCCAGUCCAGACUGAAGAGUUCAGUGUAGAAGGCAGAACUGUGACUCUGUCCUACGACUUCUCCAGAGCUGCUGCUUCUAAUGAUAAUUUCUUCUGGUAUCGACAGGAUCCAGGAAAACCUCCAGAGUUCCUCCUGCACAUCUCAGGACUCAACGUGACAAGAGCAGCAGAUUCUCUGAAAUCAGAAACAAGGUUCUUCAGUCGACUGUCUGAAGAAAAUCAUGGAGUCAAACUGCAGAUCUCCUCUGCUGCAGUGACUGACUCUGCUGUGUACUACUGUGCUCUGAGGCCCACAGUGACAGGAAACACCAAACCUCUGUACAAAAACACAACUCAAUACUUCCCAUCAGCCACUAGAGGGCGACACUAUGGAGUAGGCGGGGCUCUACUGUACUUGUGCACUGUGUUCACCACUGUGUGA